rnacentral:sRNA from 1 species
UUACAAAGCGCUAAAAAGUUAAAGUUGU